AUUGAACGCUGGCGGCAGGCUUAACACAUGCAAGUAGAGCGAGCGGCGGACGGGUGAGUAAUGUCUGGGAAACUGCCUGAUGGAGGGGGAAAACUACUGGAAACGGUAGCUAAUACCGAAUACAAUCAGAUGAGCCACGAUGGUAUUUGCUAGUAGGCGGGGUAAUGGCUCACCUUGGCGACGCUCCCUAGCUGGUCUGAGAGUAUGACCAGCCACAUGGGAACUGGGAUACGGUCCAGACUCCUACGGAGGGCAGCAUGGGGGAAUAUUGCACAAUGGGCGCAAGCCUGAGGCAGCCAGGCCGCGUGUGUGAAGAAGGCCUUCGGGUUGUAAAGCACUUUCAUCGAGGAGGCGUUACUCGCAGAAGAAGCACCGGCUAACUCCGUGCCAGCAGCCGCGGUAAUAC
rnacentral:rRNA from 1 species